rnacentral:rRNA from 1 species
AUUGAACGCUGGCGGCAGGCCUAACACAUGCAAGUCGAACGGUAACAGAAAGCAGCUUGCUGCUUUGCUGACGAGUGGCGGACGGGUGAGUAAUGUCUGGGAAACUGCCUGAUGGAGGGGGAUAACUACUGGAAACGGUAACUAAUACCGCAUAACGUCGCAAGACCAAAGAGGGGGACCUUCUGGCCUCUUGCCAUCGGAUGUGCCCAGAUGGGAUUAGCUAGUAGGUGGGGUAAAGGCUCACCUAGGCGACGAUCCCUAGCUGGUCUGAGAGGAUGACCAGCCACACUGGAACUGAGACACGGUCCAGACUCCUACGGGAGGCAGCAGUGGGGAAUAUUGCACAAUGGGCGCAAGCCUGAUGCAGCCAUGCCGCGUGUAUGAAGAAGGCCUUCGGGUUGUAAAGUACCUUCAGCGGGGAGGAAGGGAGUAAAGUUAAUACCUUUGCUCAUUGACGUUACCCGCAGAAGAAGCACCGGCUAACUACGUG